GCCAGACCCCGCGCCGCCCGCGCCCCGCUCGACUCCGGAGGCUCCCGCAGCCCCGGCGUCCGCCCCGCUGCCCCCUCCCCCGGGGGCCAUGGGGGCGCCCCCGGGCUACCGGCCCUCAGCUUGGGUGCAUCUCCUCCACCAGCUGCCCCGCGCCGACUUCCAGCUCCGCCCGGUGCCCAGCGUUUUCGCGCCCCAAGAGCAGGAAUACCAGCAGGAUCAGAGCAGCCUCGCGGUUACACAACGGCCACCUCCAACAACGCCGCUCCACCGGCUCCGGCCUCGGCCCAGACUCACGCCCGCUCUGGCCCGGAGACCUCCCGAAGCCGCACGCGGGGAUCCGCGGCCCCAGUCACCGCCAGAGGCCUUGUUGCUGGUGGCGGCCUUGGCGGGCCUGGGCUUGGGCCUGAGCCUCAUUUUCAUCGCUGUCUACCUCAUCCGCUUCUGCUGCUGCCGGCCCCCCGAGCCCCCCGGGUCCAAGAUCCCCUCGCCCGGGGGAGGCUGCGUCACCUGGAGCUGCAUUGUCGCCCUUCUCGCCGGCUGCACUGGCAUUGGCAUCGGUUUCUAUGGCAACAGUGAGACCAGUGAUGGGGUGUCCCAGCUCAGCUCUGCGCUGCUGCACGCCAACCACACACUCAGCACCAUUGACCACCUGGUGUUGGAGACGGUGGAGAGGCUGGGCGAGGCGGUGAGGACAGAGCUGACCACCCUGGAGGAGGUGCUCGAGCCGCGCACGGAGCUGGUGGCUGCCGCCCGAGGGGCUCGACGGCAGGCGGAGGCUGCGGCCCAGCAGCUGCAGGGGCUGGCCUUCUGGCAGGGAGUGCCCCUGAGCCCCCUGCAGGUGGCUGAAAAUGUGUCCUUUGUGGAGGAGUACAGGUG
rnacentral:misc_RNA from 1 species